rnacentral:lncRNA from 1 species
GAGUCCCUAAAAAAAAUGUAGGGAUGUUAGUUCCAAUUUAGUUAAAAGAAAAAUACAAAAAACAAACAUAAUAAUAACAACAAUAAUCAACGAAAAAGGGAUUGAAAUAAAAAGACAAUUCAAAAAAAAGGAACUAGAACAAGAAGAAAGAAAUAAAAAAUAAAAAGUUACGUAAAAGAAAAAAAGAAAAGAAGAAGAAACAACAAAAAAAACAAAAAAAAAAAAAAAAAAAAAAAAAAAAAAAAAAAAUAAAAAAAAAAAAAAAAAAAAAAUAAUAAUAAUAAUAAUAAUAAUAAUAAUAAUAAUAAAUAAUUAAGGGCUUCUGUCGUUUUCGGCAAAAACUAACAAAUUGGAAUUGGAAUUGGAACUUGGAAUUGGUUUCAAUUCAAGAAUCCAAAGUAUUAAAUAUAAAAAAAAAAAUUCUUUGGUUUUCCUCCGCCAUGCCAAAACCAGGAAAUAUAUU